rnacentral:rRNA from 1 species
GCUUGUCUCAAAGAUUAAGCCAUGCAUGUCUAAGUAUAAGCAUUAUACAGUGAAACUGCGAAUGGCUCAUUAUAUCAGUUAUAGUUUAUUUGAUAGUCACACUACUUGGAUAACCGUAGUAAUUCUAGAGCUAAUACAUGCACAAAGGCCCGACUCACGAAGGGCUGUAUUUAUUAGAUUUAAAGCCGACAUCUUUUGGUGAUUCAUAAUAACUUUCAGAUCGAUCGCAAGAUCGAUGCAUCAUUCAAGUUUCUGCCCUAUCAGCUUUGGAUGGUAGGGUAUUGGCCUACCAUGGCUUUAACGGGUAACGGAGAAUUAGGGUUCGAUUCCGGAGAGGGAGCCUGAGAGAUGGCUACCACAUCCAAGGAAGGCAGCAGG